rnacentral:rRNA from 2 species
UAGACCGCCUGGGGAGUACGGCCGCAAGGUUAAAACUCAAAUGAAUUGACGGGGGCCCGCACAAGCGGUGGAGCAUGUGGUUUAAUUCGAUGCAACGCGAAGAACCUUACCUGGUCUUGACAUCCACGGAAGUUUUCAGAGAUGAGAAUGUGCCUUCGGGAACCGUGAGACAGGUGCUGCAUGGCUGUCGUCAGCUCGUGUUGUGAAAUGUUGGGUUAAGUCCCGCAACGAGCGCAACCCUUAUCCUUUGUUGCCAGCGGUUAGGCCGGGAACUCAAAGGAGACUGCCAGUGAUAAACUGGAGGAAGGUGGGGAUGACGUCAAGUCAUCAUGGCCCUUACGACCAGGGCUACACACGUGCUACAAUGGCGCAUACAAAGAGAAGCGACCUCGC